UAUCUCUGUAGAGUCUGCAUAUCAAUAAGCGGAGGAAAAGAAACUAACAAGGAUUCCCUUAGUAACGGCGAGUGAAGCGGGAAGAGCUCAAAUUUGAAAUCUUCAAGGUUCUACCUUGACGAAUUGUAGUUUAAAGAAGUGUUUUCUGUUGGUGUUUUGGAAAGAGUUCUUUGGAAUAGGACAUCAUAGAGGGUGAGAAUCCCGUAUUUGACCAUUACUUCCAGCGUUGUGAUACACUUUCAAAGAGUCGGAUUGUUUGGGAAUGCAGUCCAAAAUGGGUGGUAAAUUUCAUCUAAAGCUAAAUAUUGGCGAGAGACCGAUAGCGAACAAGUACCGUGAGGGAAAGAUGAAAAGAACUUUGAAAAGAGAGUUAAACAGUACGUGAAAUUGUCAAAAGGGAAGCGUUUGACACCAGUGUUGUUUUCUCGAAAAUCAAUUAAAAAAGGCAGGAUUUUGUGUUGUAUUGACUUUAUCAGCUUACUGUACUCUUUUCUUGCUUUUUUUAAUGCACUUUUCGUUUAACAAGUCAACAUCAAUUUCUUUUGUUGUAAAAGGGUCAUUGGAAGGUGGCUUUCUUUUCGGAGAAAGUGUUUAUAGCCUUUGGCCUCUGCAAUCGGAGAGAUUGAGGUCUGCAGCGUAGAUCCUUCGGGGUUAGAUACAUUUGUGCUAAGUUAUAGCCUUUCAUAGACAACUUGUUGACUAUGAUCAGUCAUGUAGCUUACUCGCUUAUGCUAUUUUACCUACGCUUAGGAUGUUGAAGAUGUAGCACAUCAU
rnacentral:rRNA from 1 species